UGAAUGGCUUGACGAGAAAUCAACUGUCUCUUAAUAAUUUUUAAAAUUUAACUUUUAAGUCAAAAGGCUUAAAUUUUUCUUUAGGACGAGAAGACCCUAUAGAGCUUAACAUUUUAUUUUUAUAUAGUUUUUAGUUUAUCUUUCUAUAUUUAAUGAUAAUGUUUUGUUGGGGUGACAUGAAGAAUAAUUAAACUCUUCAUUAUAAAAUCAUUGAUUUAUGUUUAUCAUGAUCCAUAAUUUAUGAUCAUAAGAUUAAGUUACCUUAGGGAUAACAGCGUAAUUGUUUUCGAGAGCUCAUAUCGACAAAGCAGAUUGCGACCUC
rnacentral:rRNA from 1 species